CACAGAAGUCACUCAAAUUUCUUUACUUGUAUUUUUGGCUGGACUGCAACAGAGGGGCCAGCCCUACAAUCGUGAAUGUCUGACUCACUAGCCGGCUUUCCACUGUUGGGCCAAACAUGGGCAUGCUAAUGCCAAGGCCAGUUGCCUGUCAAAAACUGAAAAAAACUGAGGUCUCAGUACAGGGCAGUUAAAGCACAACGUGGCGUCAAAAGGAAAAAAAAUUACAGUACAACGUGAUGGACAGUGUCCUGGGCCAUGGCCUUGCAGUCAGCGGAGAGAGCGCCCAGGACAGUGUGGCUGUGUUGCCAGAGGCAGAUUCAGAUGGGUGUAAAGACAAAACAACAGAUGAGGAAAGAUUGACCAUCGAAGUAAAGACGAAUCCAACCCUAUAGGACCAUUCAAGUCAGUAUUUUACAGACUAAAGAAGAAGGAUGUUUGGAGGAAGAUGGCCACCAUGAUGCAUCUAGCAGGUGGUUGGAUGUUUUCACUGUUGUUUGUUGUGAUACAUGCCAUGAUGAUGAUGGAUCACGUGAACAGCAGUGGAGGCUUGACGCUCAAAAACUGACUUUGCAUAUUAUAUCUGAACAAGGUGUUAGGUCCCACCUGCACUGCAGGGGAAAUUUCAAGUGCUUUCAAGGCCAUCAUUUUCAAAAACUUUUAUGGCUUUAUUGAUUUUGUUAGUCCAUAAUUUCCAAGGGUCAUGUGUGAAGUACAUAUUGUAUAUAGGAGCAGUUGUACCUGGCACCUCCUCCACCC